rnacentral:lncRNA from 1 species
UAAAGUAGAAAUGGGGCUCUCAUGUAUGGAUACACAUGCUGAAAAGUAGGAAGAAACUUGAGCAAUUUCGUUGGUGGAAAUCAAAAGAAAGUACUGCCAGAUCUAGUUUGACAAUUGAAUCAAUCUUGAUCCUCUUUACAUGCAUCCUUCGAAGAUUCGGACUUAGUUUGUCAUGAAAUGAGGGAUAUUGAGAAUUUUCAAGAUGAAGAUAG